AUCAGAGAUUACAGUCAAAAUCUUCUUCCUCUAGAUCAAUGAGCUCAUAAAUCUCAUCUUGGAUCAAGUUUACAUUGACUAAUUGGUCCCUUUUGUUUUCAAGAUUAAAAAUAUCAAGAUCAAUGGAUAUGUUUCCAAAUGAGAGCUUCAUGAGUCCAUUGCAACAGUUGUCAGGGCGUUGGUGGUUGCUAAAAAUGGUCUACCUAAGAUAACUAAGAUGUG
rnacentral:lncRNA from 1 species